rnacentral:misc_RNA from 1 species
GAAAGAUCAUCACAUAAGAAAUGUAUAUUCAUAUCUUCACACCUCAAAGAACAUUACUUUUAAAGAAUUGAUAAAUUCAUAACCACAAAAAAUGAUGCUUCACAUGUAAUCAUGUGUCCACACAAUAAAUAAACUCAGAUGCAGUAGUGAUAUGUAACAUGCUGAAAUUGUAGGCACAUGUUAGGGAAAAAUUAUAUCCUACCACAGUGAUUCCGUGUAGGCAAAUCCACAUGGAAUGGCAAACAAGUAAAUGAAUUACAAGUAAAAGUAGUUACUAAAUUUUGAAAAUAAAAAAACAGCUGAGUAGUUACUUGAUGGUUAUAAUUUUCAAGAG